UACGAAGGGGGCUAGCGUUGCUCGGAAUCACUGGGCGUAAAGCGCACGUAGGCGGCUUCUUAAGUCAGGGGUGAAAUCCUGGAGCUCAACUCCAGAACUGCCUUUGAUACUGAGAGGCUCGAGUCCGGGAGAGGUGAGUGGAACUCCGAGUGUAGAGGUGAAAUUCGUAGAUAUUCGCAAGAACACCAGUGGCGAAGGCGGCUCACUGGCCCGGUACUGACGCUGAGGCACGAAAGCGUGGGGAGCAAACAGG
rnacentral:rRNA from 1 species